rnacentral:lncRNA from 1 species
UGUCUUUUAAAUAAAAAUGUGUAUCAUUAAAACCUUUAUUAGGAAAAAUUAUGUGGGAUAAAAACCUAAUGAAGGAAAAAGAGUACAUAAUCUCCUAUUACAAGUUGCCUCAUUAAAAACCUUUACCAGGAAAACCCAUUGGGACAAAACCUUAGUUAAAUAGUACAACGUGUUUUAGACUCCCCCUGAUGGCAAUAUUAUAUUAUAUCUUUGAGUCGACGCAUUCCAAUCUUGUUUCGUAGUCUUCCAAAUGUUGAAGUUGAUAAUGUCUUGGUAAAAAAAUCUGCUAAAUUAUCAUUAGAAUGAAUUUGUUGAACUUCUAAAUUAUCACUAAAUUAUCACUAGAAUGAAUUUUCAAGAUCAUGAGUG